ACGGAACUUUUCGGAGUUCAGUGGCGGACGGGUGAGUAACGCGUGAGAAUCUGCCUUCUGGUCGGGGACAACCAUUGGAAACGGUGGCUAAUACCGGAUGAGCCUACGGGUAAAAGAUUUAUUGCCAGAAGAGGAGCUCGCGUCUGAUUAGCUAGUUGGUGAGGUAAAGGCUCACCAAGGCAUCGAUCAGUAGCUGGUCUGAGAGGAUGACCAGCCACACUGGGACUGAGACACGGCCCAGACUCCUACGGGAGGCAGCAGUGGGGAAUUUUCCGCAAUGGGCGAAAGCCUGACGGAGCAAGACCGCGUGAGGGAGGAAGGCUCUUGGGUUGUAAACCUCUUUUCUUGGGGAAGAAAAAGAUGACGGUACCCAAGGAAUCAGCAUCGGCUAACUCCGUGCCAGCAGCCGCGGUAAUACGGAGGAUGCAAGCGUUAUCCGGAAUUAUUGGGCGUAAAGCGUCCGCAGGUGGCACUUCAAGUCUGCUGUCAAAGGUCGGGGCUUAACCCCGGGAAGGCAGUGGAAACUGAAGCGCUAGAGUGUCGUAGGGGUAGAGGGAAUUCCCGGUGUAGCGGUGAAAUGCGUAGAGAUCGGGAAGAACAUCGGUGGCGAAAGCGCUCUACUGGACGACAACUGACACUCAGGGACGAAAGCUAGGGGAGCGAAUGGGAUUAGAUACCCCAGUAGUCCUAGCCGUA
rnacentral:rRNA from 1 species